rnacentral:rRNA from 1 species
AUGGCGACCCCGCACUCCUUCGACCACCUCGCUGAUGUGACGACGGGGGUCCCCUGCUGGCCCCAGAUCCCCUUCACUCUAGACAUGCCAGACUCCUCCUCCCCGCGCGAUGGCGCCGCAAGGCAGAUCGUCGACUCCCUCCUCGUCCGCUUCCUCUCGCUCACCCGCCGCCGCAUCGAAAUCGCCCAGGCCCAGGAUGGACAAUACCUACGGCCAUCUGACCCAAGCUACGAGCAAGUACUUGAUUCACUUGCCAUGGUUGCAAGGCACACACCUCUACCUCUUCUCGAAGCUCUUCUUCGGUGGAGAGAAAGUGAAUCACCAAAAGGUGCCCAUGAUGCCUCAACAUACCAAAAGAAGCUUGCUGUCGAGUGCAUAUUCAGCUCAGCCUGCAUUCGAUUUGCUGAGUAUUGCCCACAGGAGGGAAUCACAGAGAAACUUUGGAAUGGCUUGGAAAGUUUCGUAUUUGAUUGGCUAAUUAAUGCAGACAGGGUUGUUAGCCAAGUAGACUAUCCUUCGUUGGUUGAUCUGCGAGGUCUCCUUUUAGAUCAUGUUGCUCAACUUUUAGGAGCUUUAUCCCGUAUCAGGUUUAGUUCUGUGACCGAGAGGUUUUUUAUUGAGCUUAAUAAUCGCCGUGUUGAUACUCCUGUUGCUAGAAGUGAGACACUCAACAUUAUUAAUGGGAUGCGCUACCUCAAACUGGGGGUGAAGACGGAGGGUGGGCUGAAUGCUUCGGUAUCCUUCAUUGCAAAAGCAAAUCCUCUAAAUCGACCUCCAAACAAGAGAAAGAGUGAACUGCAACAUGCUUUGUGCAACAUGCUCUCAAGUAUACUGGCUCCACUUGCCGAGGGAGGCAAAAAUCAUUGGCCUCCACUAGGUGUGGAACCUGCAUUGUCACUUUGGUAUGAUGCUGUUACUCGAAUAAGAGGGCAGCUCAUGUAUUGGAUGGAUAAGCAGAGCAAGCAUAUUGCUGUUGGAUUUCCACUGGUCACUCUUUUUCUUUGCCUUGGUGAUUCCCAGACGUUCAACAUUAACUUCUCUCAGCAUUUGGAGAUCCUGUAUAAGUAUCUUAAGGAUAAGAAUCAUCGAUCAAUGGCACUAGAUUGUCUACACCGGCUGGUAAAAUUUUAUGUAAACGUUUAUGCAGAUUAUCAGCCCAGAAAUCAAGUUUGGGACUAUUUAGACAGUGUGACCUCUCAAUUGCUGACCGUGUUGAAGAAAGGAUUACUGACUCAAGAUGUCCAGCAUGAUAAACUUGUUGAGUUUUGUGUGACCUUGGCUGAGAGCAACCUGGAUUUUGCAAUGAAUCAUAUGAUACUUGAACUGUUGAAACCAGAUAGUCUUAGUGAAGCAAAGGUUGUUGGCCUUAGGGCUUUGCUUGAGAUUGUUGUUUCUCCAUCAAAUCAACAAAUUGGCCUGGAUGUUUUCCAAGUGUAUGGUAUUGGCCACUAUGUUCCAAAAGUCAAGUCAGCCAUCGAGUCAAUAUUAAGGUCUUGUAGCAAGGCUUAUAGCCUAGCCCUUCUUACAUCAUCGAAAUCUACAAUUGAUAACGUAACAAAGGAUAAAUCUCAGGGAUCACUCUUCAGAUCUGUGCUCAAAUGUAUACCAUACUUGAUAGAAGAGGUGGGGCGUAAUGAUAGAAUGACUGAGAUUAUACCUCAACAUGUAACAAGUAUUGACCCUGUUGUCCGUGAAGAAGCCGUGCUAGUUUUGAACAGGAUCGUACGAUUUCUACCUGAUCGUCGGUUUGCUGUGCUGAAAGGAAUGGCUACUUUUAUCCUGAAACUCCCCGAUGAGUUCCCUAUUUUGAUUCUCAAUUCACUGGGACGCCUAGUAGAGCUUAUGCGGUUGUGGAGAGCUUGCCUCUCUGAGGAACUUCUGGCAAAAGAUAUGCAAAGUUUUAGACGUUCUAGUCUUGGAGGCGAUACGCUACAGAAAUCAUCUCCUUUUCAUAGGUCCAAAGAUAUAUCUGAAUUCCGUGCCUCGGAAAUGGAUGCGGUUGGUCUUGUCUUUCUCAGCUCUGCUGAUGUUCAAAUACGGCUUACAGCUCUGGAGUUAUUGCGAUGUGUUCGAUCUCUAAAGAAUGAUCUGAGAGAUUACUCAGCAAAUGAAGGCGACACUAAACUGAGACUUGAACCAGAACCAAUAUUUAUCAUUGACAUCAUAGAGGAAAAUGGGGAAGACAUUGUUCAGAGCUGUUAUUGGGAUCCAGGGCGACCUUAUGAUCUGAGACGUGAGAUGGAUCCCAUCCCUUCUGAUGUGACACUUCAAUCCAUCUUGGAGAGCGCUGAUAAAAGUAGAUGGGCCCGCUACCUGAGUGAAAUUGUGAAAUAUGCGGCUGAACUUUGUCCUGCCUCUGUGCAUGUUGCAAGAUUAGAAGUUGUUAGGAGACUUGAUCAAAUCACUCCCUCCGAGCUAGGUGGAAAGUCUCAGCAAUUACAAGAUUCUGAGGCCAAGCUUGACCAGUGGUUGAUAUAUGCAACAUUUGCAUGCUCUUGCCCACCUGAUAACAAAGAAUUCGUCCCCAAAGCAGCGAGAGACAUUUUCCAUACAAUUUUCCCAUCGCUGCGCCAUGGUUCAGAAGGAUAUGCACUUGCUGCUACGGCUGCACUUGGGCACUCACAUCUAGAAGUAUGUGAAAUCAUGUUCGGUGAACUUGCAUUUUUCCUUGAGGAUGUUUCAUCAGAAACUGAAGGAAAAUCAAAAUGGAAGAAUCCUAGGUCCCGCCGUGAGGAUCUGCGCACUCAUGUUGCAAACAUACAUCGAAUGAUAGCUGAAAAGAUUUGGCCUGGGAUGCUUAUUCGGAAGCCUGUUCUCCGUUUACAUUUUCUAAAGUUUAUUGAAGAAACAUACCGCCAAAUCAACAUGUCAUCAUCUGAUGGCUUUCAGGAUGUGCAGCCUCUCCGAUAUGCAUUAGCAUCUGUCAUAAGAUAUCUAGCUCCUGAGUUUGUUGAUGCAAGGUCUGAGAGGUUUGACAACAGAAUACGUAAGAAACUUUUCGAUCUUCUUCUUAACUGGAGUGAUGAAUCUGGCAGCUCAUGGGGGCAGGAAGGCGGCACUGAUUAUCGCCGUGAACUUGAGCGAUAUAAAGCCACUCAACAUAAUAGGUCAAGGGAAUCACUCGACAAGCUUGCAUUUGACAGGGAAAUGGCUGAGCAGUUGGAAGCUAUCAAUUGGGCUUCCAUGCAUGCUAUUGCUUCUUUGCUUUAUGGUCCUUGUUUUGAUGAUAAUGCUAGAAAGAUGUCAGGUCGUGUAAUAUUGUGGAUCAAUAGCUUGUUCGGGGAACCAGCUCUGAGAGCACCUUUUGGGCAUUCACCAGUAGACCCUCGAACACCAUCAUACUCAAAGCAUACCGAUGGAGGGCGCUUUGGUGGAAAGGACAAACAAAAGGCUAGUCAGUUUCGGGUUCUCUUAGCAAAAACCGCGUUGAAGAAUAUUUUGCAGACAAAUUUGGAUUUGUUCCCUGCUUGCAUAGACCAGUGCUACUCUCCAGACGCUGCAAUAGCGGAUGGGUAUUUCAGUGUUCUGGCUGAAGUUUACAUGCGUCAAGAAAUUCCAAAAUGUGAGAUCCAGAGACUUUUGAGCUUGAUCCUCUACAAGGUGGUCGAUCAAACAAAACUGAUCCGUGACAGUGCCCUCCAGAUGCUGGAGACACUCUCUCUCCGUGAAUGGGCUGAAGAUGAUGCUGAUGGCAUUGGACACUAUCGGGCAUCUGUUGUUGGCAACCUUCCAGACUCCUACCAACAAUUCCAGUACAAGCUGUCCUCAAAGCUCGCCAAGGACCAUCCUGAACUCAGUGAGCAUCUAUGCGAGGAAAUUAUGCAGCGCCAGCUUGACGCAGCGGACAUUAUAGCACAGCAUCAGGUCCUCACAUGCAUGGCUCCUUGGAUAGAAAAUCUCAACUUUGUGAGGUUAAAGGAAUCUGGGUGGAGUGAGAGACUGCUGAAAAGUCUUUAUUACGUGACAUGGAAGCACGGUGAUCAGUUUCCUGAUGAGAUUGAGAAACUAUGGAGCACCGUUGCUAGCAAUACUCGCAACAUUAUCCCUGUGCUUAACUUCUUGAUUACCAGAGGGAUAGAGGACUGCGAUGCCAAUCCAUCAGCAGAGAUCACUGGUGCAUUUGCUACAUACUUCUCAGUUGCCAAGCGUGUCAGUCUAUACCUAGCUCGAAUUUGCCCACAGCAGACCAUUGAUCAUUUGGUCUGUGAGUUAUCUCAGAGAAUGCUUGAAGAGAAUGAGGAACCAAUCAGGCCUGGGAAGUUUGAUGCUUCUGCAAAUGUUGUGUUGGAGUUCUCUCAGGGACCUACUACCUCUCAGAUAUCAUCAGUAAUUGAUAGCCAGCCUCACAUGUCCCCCCUGCUUGUCCGUGGUUCUCUUGAUGGCGCAAUCAGGAAUGUCAGCGGAAACUUGAGCUGGCGGACAUCGACAGUCACUGGACGAAGUGUGUCUGGCCCAUUGAGCCCAUUGGCCCCGGAGGUGACCAACAUCCCAAACCCCACUACAGGCCGGUCAGGCCAGCUCCUUCCAGCGUUAAUGAACAUGUCAGGGCCGUUGAUGGGUGUCCGAAGCUCGGCUGGUCAUCUCAGGAGCCGUCAUGUUUCCAGGGAUAGUGGAGACUACUAUUUUGACACCCCAAAUUCAAACGAUGAAUUUCUGCAUCAAGGGGGCAGUGGAAUUCAUGGGAUUAAUGCUAAGGAGCUCCAAUCUGCAUUACAGGGGCACCAGCACUUGCUUUCACGUGCCGACAUUGCUUUGAUUCUCCUUGCUGAAAUUGCUUAUGAAAAUGACGAGGACUUCCGUGAAAAUUUGCCUCUGUUAUUCCAUGUCACGUGUGUUUCAAUGGAUAGCUCAGAAGACAUUGUGCUUGAGCAUUGCCAGGAUUUGCUCGUGAAUCUCCUCUACUCGCUUGCUGGCCGGCAUCUUGAACUGUAUGAGGUUGAGAGCAGUGAAAGGGAGAAUAAGCAGCAUGUGGUGAGCUUGAUAAAAUACAUCCAGUCUAAAAGAGGCAGCCUGAUGUGGGAGAACGAGGAUCCUACCCUUGUCCGGACUGAACUUCCUAGCACUUCACUCUUGUCAGCACUCGUACAAAGCAUGGUCAGUGCAAUUUUCUUCCAGGGGGAUCUUCGUGAGACUUGGGGUGCUGAAGCACUUAAGUGGGCCAUGGAGUGCACAUCCCGUCACCUGGCCUGCCGAUCGCACCAGAUAUAUCGUGCUUUACGUCCUAGUGUCAAGAGUGAUAGCUGCGUGUUGCUUCUGAGGUGUGUCCACAGAUGUUUGGGUAACCCUGUCCCUUCUGUUCUGGGGUUUGCAAUGGAGAAUUUGUUAACACUUCAAGUCAUGGUUGAGAACAUGGAGCCGGAGAAGGUGAUACUUUACCCGCAGCUCUUCUGGGGCUGCGUUGCGCUGAUGCAUACCGACUUUGUCCACAUCUACUGCCAAGUGCUUGAAUUGUUCUGUAGGGUGAUUGAUCGCUUGACCUUCCGUGACCGGACAACUGAGAAUGUGUUGCUCUCCAGCAUGCCCCGUGAUGAAUUCGACGUCAAUGGGUAUAUAAGCGACCUCCACAGGCUGGAGUCGAGGACUACCUCAGAGAGGCUGCUGUCUGUCACCGAGACCGGAAAGGUCCCUGAUUUUGAAGGCGUGCAGCCGCUGGUACUGAAAGGGCUCAUGUCUAGCGCCAGCCAUGGGUCUGCAAUCGAGGUGCUAUCCAGGAUCACGAUACCCACAUGCGAUUCUAUAUUUGGGAAUCCUGAGACAAGGCUGCUGAUGCACAUCACAGGUCUGCUCCCAUGGCUCGGGUUGCAGCUCACCAAGGACGUAUCUUCCCUAGGGUCAGCUUCGCCUCUACAAGAACAGAACCAGAAGGCCUACUAUGUGGCAUCCAAUAUCUCAGGAUGGUGCCGUGUGAAAUCUCUUCAUGUCCUAGCCGAGGUCUUCAGAGCAUACUCUUACGGGGAAAUCAUCUCACUGGAAGACCUCUUCGCGCGCGCCUCGCCUCCGAUCUGCGCCGAGUGGUUCCCGAAGCACUCGUCCCUGGCCUUUGGGCACCUCCUCAGGCUCCUGGAGAGGGGCCCUCUGGACUACCAGCGGGUGGUGCUCCUGAUGCUCAAGUCGCUGCUGCAGCAGACCCCCGUGGACCCGUCCCAGAUCCCCCAGGUGUACAACGUGGUGUCGCAGCUCGUUGAGAGCGCGCUGUGCGCCGAGGCGCUCAACGUGCUGGAGGCGCUGCUGCGGAGCUGCGGCGGCGAGAACGGUGGCGGCCAUGGGGGGAUGAUGACGGGUGAGAAGGUGCUGGAGAGGAUGCUGCUCCCGCAGUCGUCGUUCAAGGCCCGGAGCGGGCCGCUCCAGUACGCGGCCGGGUCGGGGUUCGGGUCCAUGAUGGCGGCCCAGGGCGUCGCCGCCCCCGUGGACACCGGGCUGGUCACGCGCGACGUGGCGCUGCAGAACACCCGGCUGCUGCUCGGGCGCGUCCUCGACACCUGCGCCCUCGGCCGCAAGCGGGACCACAAGCGCCUGGUGCCGUUCGUGGCCAACAUCGGGUAG